ACUUCCUAAGCCGGAACGAAAAGUGAAUUAGCAGUAACGCUAUGAAACUUUUGGCUUUGUGGUUGUGAUGUUGUGUUUGCAAGUUGUCUGGGAAACUAGACUGU
rnacentral:misc_RNA from 1 species